CAGAGAGAGACAUGCGCGCAUAUCAAUAAGCGGAGGAAAAGAAACUAACAAGGAUUCCCUUAGUAACGGCGAGUGAAGCGGGAAGAGCUCAAAUUUGAAAUCUUCAAGGUUUUACCUUGACGAAUUGUAGUUUAAAGAAGUGUUUUCUGCUGAAGUUUUGGUAAAAGUUCUUUGGAAUAGGACAUCAUAGAGGGUGAGAAUCCCGUAUUUGACCAUUAUUUUCAGCUUUGUGAUACACUUUCAAAGAGUCGGAUUGUUUGGGAAUGCAGUCCAAAAUGGGUGGUAAAUUUCAUCUAAAGCUAAAUAUUGGCGAGAGACCGAUAGCGAACAAGUACCGUGAGGGAAAGAUGAAAAGAACUUUGAAAAGAGAGUUAAACAGUACGUGAAAUUGUCAAAAGGGAAGCGUUUGACACCAGUGUUGUUUUCUCGAAAAUCAAUUAAAAAUGGCUCGAUUUUGUAUUGCUGAGACCUUAAAAGCUCACUGUACAUUUUUCGUGUCGUUUUUUAAUGCACUUUUCGUUUAACAAGUCAACAUCAGUUUCUUUUGUUGUAAAAGGGUCGUUGGAAGGUGGCUUUCUUUUCGGAGAAAGUGUUUAUAGCCUUUGGCCUCUGCAAUCGGAGAGACUGAGGUCUGCAGCGUAGACUCUUCGGGGUUAGAUACAUUUGUGCUAAGUUAUAGCUUUUUAUAGACAACUUGUUGACUAUAAUUAGUCUUGUAGCUUACUCGCUUAUGCUAUUUUACCUACGCUUAGGAUGUUGAAGAUGUAGCACAUCAU
rnacentral:rRNA from 1 species